GGAGGCUGGCCAAUCCGGACAGAUGGGCGUGUGAGCAAGAGCGGAGGGGCUCCGGAGGAGGUUCGAGCCCGGGCCGCGCGAGUCGAGGGCCCGGCCCCUUCACAGCGCCUGGGGAUGGGCCGCUGGAACCAGCGCGGCGGUGAUAGGGCGCUCCCGCGUUCAGAAGAUGGCAAGUGCUGUGCAGAACAAGAAACAAGCUGACGGGAUGAAGUGUGGCAGACCUGGGGGUGAAGGAGGCCCCACGCCAGGCGCUCAGGGAAGGCCGAGACGCUGACAUUGAAACCUGCCUGUGAGAAAGGGGGUGGGGAAGGCCCUGAAGCGGAGCAGGAUAGUCUGUCCAAGGCAAUGGAAUGAAGUCAACCUCUUCUCUCCCAAGAGGAUUUUGUAGAAAACUGACAUUUUCUUGUAAACCUGGGCACGUUCUCAACGUUACAUCACUUCAGCGCUGUCAGGGGGACAGACAUCAGAGAAAUGGAACCCGAGUCCUGGUGUACCUCAACUACUUUGCUUUAUUCUAGGUCAAAGUCUUGAGGUUUCGGAGGCUGGAGUCCACUGGUUCUUCAUGGAGACACGCUCCACACUGAGAAGCAGGGAGACAGAGAAAAGCGAGGAAAAUAGCAGAGCAAUACCUCAUCCACUUGAUUCUGUGUCUGCUGAAGUCUCCGAUUGCCGCCAGAGGCAGCGCUGGGCCCUGCAGGCGCACCUGUAGACCUGAAACAUGGAAAGGCCCGCGCAUCAGUAAACGAGCAUUCUGAAGGCACUGUCUGUCACAGGCCCCUGUGUCUUAGAGGUCUUCCCCAUCCAAGUCAGCACCUAGCAUGUGUCCUGCAUACAACAGCCACUGAUUCAUUGACUCAACAAGCAGCAUUCUACCGUGUGCCAGUGACCAGGGAUGCAGCACAUUCAUCUCUGCCCUCAGAGACCAGGUGCUGUGUAGCUCCACGGAUCCGGAUCUUAACCACUGCGAUCCUACUGGCACAGCGGCCUCAGUGGUGAGUCCAGG